rnacentral:rRNA from 1 species
UACGGAGGGAGCAAGCGUUACUCGGAAUUAUUGGGCGUAAAGGGCGCGUAGGCGAUUUGAAAAGUCUUGUGUGAAAGCCCCGAAGCUUAACUCGGGAAGUGCACAAGAAACUGUUGAAUUUGAGUUCCGGAGAGGAAGGCAGAAUUCCCGGUGUAGCGGUGAAAUGCGUAGAUAUCGGGAGGAAUACCAGUGGCGAAGGCGGCCUUCUGGACGGAUACUGACGCUGAGGCGCGAAAGCCAGGGGAGCAAACGGG